rnacentral:lncRNA from 1 species
GAAAGGAGCUAAAGGUGUAGGGAAGGUGGGAUGGGUAGGGGAAGAGUAAAAAGGGAAAAGAAAAAAAUGUGAGAGAAUGAAAAGAUGAAAAUAAAGUGUUUGUAGAUGGGGAGGGGAGGAGGGGGUGAAGGGAGGGCAGAGGUAAGGGGAAAAAAUGAGAAUCAAGACUUGUCAUGUAGAGGUACAAGAUCCCAACAAUGAAUGUAACUGUACUGUCUCCCUAAAAUGUACCAAUAAACUCAAUUAAAGCUGAAAAAAAAAACCUGGAAAAAAAGCUUUUGUAAAUAAGGAGAAGAGGGGUUGACAGCAGGGGAAGGGAAUGGGGGAAAAAAAGAAGCACCAAGAUAUAUUACAUACAGGUACAAAUUCCUGGUGAUGAAUGUGCUCAUUAUGGGUACCUAAAAUGUACCAAUAAAAGAAUUUAAAAAGGGGGAGACAUAAGGAUAACUACGCUUUCCAUCCCUAUCCAAAUCCUUGGCCCUCAUCAUACCAAAGGUUGCCUCUGAGUUAUCAGUGAAGCUUACCCCCUGUCAGUUGUUACUUUUACAUGUUUACAUAUAUUCCUUAGAAAAUAUGUAAAGGGGAAAAAAACCCACGCACACAACUGUGACCAGAUGUGUGGAGUUUUUCUCCCCCACAGGAAGCAGUUCUCCAACAGCCACAACUAGGCUUCCUCUAAUCUGGUUCAAUUCUGACACUGGCUGCCUAGAGUCAGAGUAAGAGCUCACAGAUUAAGGGCUGUCCAAGAGGAUUUCAGAGGUCAGUCAGAAGUCUCAGGUUGUGGCUUCUGCCAGCUAGAAACUGGAUUUCCCAUAGUCUUCCACAAGGAGUUUGAUAGUUUGCUAGGAUGGCCUACAGAACUAGGGCACCACUUAGGUUUAGUUUCCUUCCACAGGAUGUAAUAAGGCAUACAAAUGAACAGCCAGAUGAAGAGAGCAGGACACAGGAAGAAGCCUCCACACACUUUCUGGGCGUACCACCAUCCCAGCAAGAAGCUCAUCAAAUCUCACCAUUCAGGACUUUAGAGUUUAUUCUCCAGACUCUUCCCCUUUCCCAGUGGGAGCUGUUGAAGAGUUGAAAGGGAGAAUCUGGGUGCUACCCUUGUUUACAGACUCCUGCUGUGAGGAGGAAAAGCCAAGAAUUCCCUGCAGAAAUAUGUAUUACAAAAGUGGAGAAUGCCCUGAGAUCCUGAGUUAAACUUUGGGAAUAAAAAAGUGGGGGAAUGAGCUGAAG